AUGGUGAGAAUCUUGGAGGAGAAAGGGUGCAGAUUGAUGAAGAUGUUGAGGAGAAAUGGAGAAGAGAAAGAACCAAAGAGAAGGAGGGGGGCGAAUGGUGAUGUGGCUGCAAUGAUGGAGAAGUACUUGGACAUAAGGACGAAGCAGGUGGAGGAUGAGAGGAAUAAGCCAAAGGUCGUGGAUGAGUACUCUAUCAAAAACUGCAUUGAUCUGCUGAAAACAAUGGAGAUCACACUUGAAGAAGAAGUCAAGGCUUUCCGAGUCUUCAAGAUCCCCGAGAACCGAGAGAUUUUCGUGAGUGCCAGACCGGAGACUGCUCUUAUGUGGCUGAGAGCUGAAAUGGAAUAA
rnacentral:rRNA from 1 species